rnacentral:rRNA from 1 species
UACGUAGGGUCCAAGCGUUAUCCGGAAUCACUGGGCGUAAAGCGUGCGUAGGUGGCGCGUUAAGUGAGAUGUGAAAUCGUGUGGCUCAACCAUAUCGAUGUGUCUCAUACUGGCGUGCUAGAGGACGGCAGAGGCAAGUGGAACUCGUAGUGUAGCAGUGAAAUGCGUAGAUAUUACGAAGAACACCAAUGGCGAAGGCAGCUUGCUGGGCCACUCCUGACACUGAGGUACGAAAGCGUGGGGAGCGAACAGG